ACCUAGCUGUAGAGUCCCAAAUAGGAAAAAACACGCGUCCUGGAU
rfam:Schistosoma rodhaini strain Burundi genome assembly, scaffold: SROB_scaffold0002186